UACAGAGGGUGCAAGCGUUACUCGGAAUUACUGGGCGUAAAGCGUGCGUAGACGGUUAUGUAAGUCGGGUGUGAAAGCCCCAGGCUCAACCUGGGAAUUGCAUUCGAGACUGUGUAGCUAGGGUACGGAAGAGGGAAGCGGAAUUUCAGGUGUAGCGGUGAAAUGCGUAGAUAUCUGAAGGAACACCAGUGGCGAAAGCGGCUUCCUGGUCCAGUACCGACGUUCAGGCACGAAAGCGUGGGGAGCAAACAGG
rnacentral:rRNA from 1 species